UACGUAGGGUGCGAGCGUUGUCCGGAAUUAUUGGGUUUAAAGGGUCCGUAGGCGGUUUAAUAAGUCAGUGGUGAAAGCCCAUCGCUCAACGGUGGAACGGCCAUUGAUACUGUUAAACUUGAAUUAUUAGGAAGUAACUAGAAUAUGUAGUGUAGCGGUGAAAUGCUUAGAGAUUACAUGGAAUACCAAUUGCGAAGGCAGGUUACUACUAAUGGAUUGACGCUGAUGGACGAAAGCGUGGGUAGCGAACAGGA
rnacentral:rRNA from 1 species